GGCAGCAGUGGGGAAUAUUGCACAAUGGGCGCAAGCCUGAUGCAGCAACGCCGUGUGAGUGAAGAAGGUUUUCGGAUCGUAAAACUCUGUCCUAAGGGAAGAAACAAAUGACGGUACCUUAGGAGGAAGCCCCGGCUAACUACGUGCCAGCAGCCGCGGUAAUACGUAGGGGGCAAGCGUUAUCCGGAAUCACUGGGCGUAAAGGGUGCGUAGGCGGCUUAGCAAGCCAGGGGUGAAAGGCAUUGGCUCAACCAAUGUAAGCCUUUGGAACUGUUAAGCUUGAGUGCAGGAGAGGUAAGUGGAAUUCCUAGUGUAGAGGUGAAAUUCGUAGAUAUUAGGAGGAACACCAGUGGCGAAGGCGACUUACUAAACUGUAACUGACGCUGAUGCACGAAAGCGUGGGGAUCGAACAGGAUUAGAUACCCUGGUAG
rnacentral:rRNA from 1 species